GAUGAACGCUGGCGGCGUGCCUAAUACAUGCAAGUCGAGCGAACGGACGAGAAGCUUGCUUCUCUGAUGUUAGCGGCGGACGGGUGAGUAACACGUGGAUAACCUACCUAUAGGACUGGGAUAACUUCGGGAAACCGGAGCUAAUACCGGAUAAUAUUUUGAACCGCAUGGUUCAAAAGUGAAAGACGGUCUUGCUGUCACUUAUAGAAGGAUCCGCGCUGCAUUAGCUAGUUGGUAAGGUAACGGCUUACCAAGGCAACGAUGCAUAGCCGACCUGAGAGGGUGAUCGGCCACACUGGAACUGAGACACGGUCCAGACUCCUACGGGAGGCAGCAGUAGGGAAUCUUCCGCAAUGGGCGAAAGCCUGACGGAGCAACGCCGCGUGAGUGAUGAAGGUCUUCGGAUCGUAAAACUCUGUUAUUAGGGAAGAACAUAUGUGUAAGUAACUGUGCACAUCUUGACGGUACCUAAUCAGAAAGCCACGGCUAACUACGUG
rnacentral:rRNA from 1 species